UACGUAGGGUGCAAGCGUUGUCCGGAAUUAUUGGGCGUAAAGGGCUCGUAGGCGGUUUGUUGCGUCUAUCGUGAAAACCUGCAGCUUAACUGUGGGCUUGCGGUGGAUACGGGCAGACUUGAGUUCGGUAGGGGAGACUGGAAUUCCUGGUGUAGCGGUGAAAUGCGCAGAUAUCAGGAGGAACACCAGUGGCGAAGGCGGCUCGCUGGGACGGUACUGACGCUGAGGCGCGAAAGCGUGGGGAGCAAACAGG
rnacentral:rRNA from 1 species